rnacentral:lncRNA from 1 species
CAGAAUUCCGCACUCUGCUCAUCUCCCAUCUUCAAUAUCCAUCGUGGUCUCUCCCCGGGCCCUGGGAGCCAGCAGCAUCUGCCCUUGCCUGUGGACUGCAUCCCGCCUGUGUCUUUGUAAUGAGCACUUGGACCUAUGUGCUCAGGAAACAGACGUUGAAUGAAGGAAUGUCCAGAGCACAACAGAAGUUCAGAAUGGACAGGAUGAGAUGGAACGUGUAACACUUUAAAAGUUACCACCUUUUUAACAGGAUUAAAGGCUUAAGUCUAAGGAAUGACAAUGUAGAGAUUUGGGCAUCGCUGGGUGGCUCCGCAGACUCUGAUGGAGGGGACCCCUCCCUGGGCGGGGACAGAUGCCAGCCCCGCACAGAGACCAGGGGUUCUGCCGCUCGCCCCCCAGGGUCUCAGGGCAGGAUCUGAGCACUUCCCUGCUGGCAAAGGGAGAUGGAAACUGCAGUUUGGGAAGAUAGCAGAAAGGGAAGGCAGAGUGUUUUAAUUAAACAAGAAUAGAAAAUGUACGAAAAAUAUCUCCUCGACACAAUCUCAUGAGAGCAGGAGUGCUGCCCG